UACAGAGGUCUCAAGCGUUGUUCGGAUUCAUUGGGCGUAAAGGGCGCGUAGGCGGCCUGAUAAGUCGGGGGUGAAAUCCUGCGGCUUAACCGCAGAGCUGCCUUCUAAACUGUCAGGCUAGAGCACGGUAGAGGCAGAUGGAAUUCCCGGUGUAGCGGUGGAAUGCGUAGAGAUCGGGAAGAACAUCAGUGGCGAAGGCGGUCUGCUGGGCCGUUGCUGACGCUGAGGCGCGACAGCGUGGGGAGCAAACAGG
rnacentral:rRNA from 1 species